UGUACUUGGUUUUUUCAUCGUAAGUGAUCUCACAUGUCCUUUGACGCGUGAGAAUAUAGAUUAAAAUACCAUUCUUUUAUUUUUUAACCAUUUCAAUGGCCAUUUCUUUAUAUUCUUCAAUAUAACUUUUUUCAUCCUCCACUAAAGUACUGAUUUUUCUUCUUUUCUCAUUUUUUUUUUCAUUUCUUUCCUUAUUAGAUACAUUUUAGUCUUAUUUAUUAGUUGACUCUGUUAGUGGGUUAUUAUCUAUCUAUAUAAAUAUAUAAUUGAGGGACCUAACAUAGGUUACGUGGCAUGCCUCAUUGCACGGGGAUGGCCUUUCUCUUUUCUCUCAAUUUUUAGAGCUUCUCCGAUUUUUUCCCAAUUUAUCUCCGAGAAAGUCAGCGUUAAAUUUAUUUAUUUGGAAAACCCAAACGUUUCCUCUUAUAAUCGUUUCCAUUAAUUUCUAACAAACCCUUUCUUCUCAUGCUACUCUCUCUUCUCUCUCUUCCAUGGAAUAAAAAGUACUUUCACUUUCAAUUAUGUAUUCCUUUCUUUUCAACUUGGACGAUCCUUCUCUUAUAAAUCAACCGCUGGAAAUUCAUCAAGUAAAUGUCAAAAUUGUAUCAUAUGUGGUUAUCUGAAUUGAAAUUAAAUAGUUGCCAUUCAAGUUGGUAACUUAAGCGACAAAAAGUCCUGUAUAUGUCUUCACUACAAUUUCAAGCUUUCUUCACUUGGCUUCGAUAACAAAGGAGAAGAGAAGCAUUUUUUCCAGUAAAAGAUGAACCACUAUUAUCAUUACUUGGGCUACCUCUGAACUUUCAAAUAAUAACCCUCCAAAGCAACAACAAACUAUGAGACACUGGCGAAACGAGGAACAAUCGUGCAGUAAAUACUACUGAGACUAUAAAUAGUUUACAAAAAGUCUGACAAGAAACAAUGAAGUCUUGUAACUUUCGUUCAAAGAAAUUUCAUAUAUUACUAUUGAAACAAACUUAAAUUAUCAAGUUAGUACUAAAGUGAGGAAGGUAUUGCGAGAAAAGUUUAUAGUUAUCAUAUAAUCUAAGCGAAUUUGUAUUAAUCUUUUUUUAAUCAGUGUGACUGUAUAUCAUUCUUUAUUUAACAGUCCCAGAAAGAAUAUGCAAUUCUCCUGAUUUUAAUUUACACUACACAUUGAACUCAUUGGGAAAAGGUGAAUAUUGAUGUACCUGUAUUCAUUUUAAAUGCAUUACCUCCAAUUGUCACCUUUAUUACAAAGAAGUUAAGAGAUCAGAUCAUUUGGCAAGACCAUCUAAAGAACAUAAGAUACCAUGUACGCUAAUUCUUCGGUUUGUACUUCCUCAGAUGAAAUGAUAUGGACUUAGUUAUCGCAAAGUCAAAAAUUUGGUUGCCGUUUCAAGUGGAUAUUCAAUUGGUUCAACAGAAAUACCUUUAUCAUUCUACUGAGUACUUUAUGUCUUCAAUCUCCAUUGUUAUAACUAAAUGAUAUAUUCCAUAAAUUGAAAAUUUUAUUUUACGGCCGCG